rnacentral:rRNA from 1 species
GGGUUGUGAGGUUAAGCGACUAAGCGUACACGGUGGAUGCCCUGGCAGUCAGAGGCGAUGAAGGACGUGCUAAUCUGCGAUAAGCGUCGGUAAGGUGAUAUGAACCGUUAUAACCGGCGAUUUCCGAAUGGGGAAACCCAGUGUGAUUCGUCACACUAUCAUUAACUGAAUCCAUAGGUUAAUGAGGCGAACCGGGGGAACUGAAACAUCUAAGUACCCCGAGGAAAAGAAAUCAACCGAGAUUCCCCCAGUAGCGGCGAGCGAACGG